UAUUCUAACCGUGCAAAGGUAGCGCAAUCAAUUGCCUUUUAAAUGAAGGCCUGUAUGAAUGGUAUUACGAGGGUCUAGCUGUCUCUCUUUUCUAGUCAGUUAAACUGAUCUCUCCGUGCAGAAGCGGACAUAACUAUACAAGACGAGAAGACCCUAUGGAGCUUUAGACACCAGCCAACUGUGAAUAGCGACUGAACUAAACAAGUCCUAAAUACCCACGACCCCAUGGCAACGUAGUCUUAGGUUGGGGCGACCGCGGGAGAAAAUGAAGCUCCCAAGCAGACCGGGAUAAACCCUUGAGCCGAGAGUUGCAGCUCUAAGCCACAAAAAAUUUGACUGAAAUGAUCCGGUUGGAAAACCGAUUAACGAACCAAGUUACCCUAGGGAUAACAGCGCAAUCCCCUCCCAGAGUCCCUAUCGACGAGGGGGUUUACGACCUCGAUGUUGGAUCAGGACAUCCUAAUGGUGCAGCCGCUAU
rnacentral:rRNA from 1 species